UACGAAGGUCCCAAGCGUUAUCCGGAUUUAUUGGGUUUAAAGGGUACGUAGGCGGGCUAUUAAGUCAGUGGUGAAAGCCUCAAGCUUAACUUGAGAAUUGCCAUUGAUACUGAUGACCUUGAGUACAUUUGAAGUGGGCGGAAUGUGUCAUGUAGCGGUGAAAUGCUUAGAUAUGACACAGAACACCGAUUGCGUAGGCAGCUCACUAAACUGUAACUGACGCUGAGGCACGAAAGCGUGGGGAGCAAACAGG
rnacentral:rRNA from 1 species